rnacentral:rRNA from 1 species
UAAUGUCUGGGAAGCUGCCUGAUGGAGGGGGAUAACUACUGGAAACGGUAGCUAAUACCGCAUAACGUCGCAAGACCAAAGUGGGGGACCUUCGGGCCUCAUGCCAUCAGAUGUGCCCAGAUGGGAUUAGCUAGUAGGUGGGGUAACGGCUCACCUAGGCGACGAUCCCUAGCUGGUCUGAGAGGAUGACCAGCCACACUGGAACUGAGACACGGUCCAG